GGGAGCCGGAUGAGCCGAGAGGUUCACGUCCGGUUCUGAGAGGGCCUGAGGGUGUGAUUCCCUUGGGCUACUUACC
rfam:Paenibacillus pectinilyticus strain KCTC13222 scaffold20, whole genome shotgun sequence.